rnacentral:lncRNA from 1 species
GUCACUUCCGGCCGGAGAGCCUCUCGGCCCUGCUGUCCCGGUAAGCUCCUAGCUGCUGGUUUGAAGUCACUUCCGACCUGGUUCUCGGCUCCCUCGGGGAUCCGGGUGCUCUGCAGAUCUUGUUUACCCGGUUCUAUUUCGCCUGCCAUCCUAAACUGCGGCUGUGUAAUCCAGCACGGAGAAGUGCGUUUUUUGUUUCUCAAACUUCUUGGCCAGCUUCUGCAGCCUUCCGUGCUGCGGUCACUUCCCUCUGCGCCUCUGUACCUGGACCUCAGCACUUCUCCCAAGUCGCCCGACCCCUCUGGGAAAUCACAAGAGUGUUCGUGCUUUUCUUCUCAUUUCUUUGCCCAGUAGAAAGCUUGGGAGUGCGGGCUCUGAGGUUUCGAGUGCUGCUUCUCUUGUAACGGCGUUACCUAGAUACUGGUGGAAAGACCAAUAAAACCCAAGCCCUGCCUUCAAAGACAUGGAGAUAGUAAUUAUAGAAGGAAGAAGGUCAACCCUGGAAAAAACGGGACCAGCUAGCUGAGGAUUUAUCCG